rnacentral:rRNA from 1 species
AUAACGGUCCUAAGGUAGCGAAAUUCCUUGUCAGGUAAGUUCUGACCCGCACGAAAGGUGUAACGAUUUGAGCACUGUCUCGACAACACGCCCGGUGAAAUUGAAGAACCAGUGAAGAUACUGGUUACCCGCAACAGGACGGAAAGACCCCAUGGAGCUUUACUGCAGCUUAAUAUUGGGAUUCGGUAUUGUAUGUACAGGAUAGGAGGGAGACUAAGAAGCUAGCACGCCAGUGUUGGUGGAGUCGAUGGUGGGAUACCUCUCUUAUAAUACUGAAUUUCUAACCUACUUCCGUGAUCCGGAAGAGGGACAUUGUUAGGCGGGCAGUUUGACUGGGGCGGUCGCCUCCGAAAGAGUAACGGAGGCGCUCAAAGGUCUUCUCAGAAUGAUUGGAAACCAUUCAAAGAGUGUAAAGGCAAAAGAAGGCUUGACUGCGAGAGUGACAACUCGAGCAGGUACGAAAGUAGGACUUAGUGAUCCGGUGGUAACAAGUGGGAGUGCCAUCGCUUAACGGAUAAAAGCUACCCUGGGGAUAACAGGCUUAUCUCCCCCAAGAGUUCACAUCGACGGGGAGGUUUGGCACCUCGAUGUCGGCUCAUCGCAUCCUGGGGCUGUAGUAGGUCCCAAGGGUUGGGCUGUUCGCCCAUUAAAGCGGUACGCGAGCUGGGUUCAGAACGUCGUGAGACAGUUCGGUCCCUAUCCGUUGUGGGCGUAGGAAAUUUGAUAGGAGCUGUCCUUAGUACGAGAGGACCGGGAUGGACGAACCUCUGGUGAAUCUGUUGGUAACCAAUGCCACAGCAGAAUAGCCAAGUUUGGAACGGAUAAACGCUGAAGGCAUCUAAGCGUGAAGCCAACCUAAAGACUAGAUUUCCCAUGCGAAAGCAGUAAGACUCCUUGUAGACGACAAGGUUGAUAGGCCAGAGAUGUAAGCACAGUAAUGUGUUCAGUUGACUGGUACUAAUAAGUCGAGGGCUUGACCAA